GACGAACGCUGGCGGCGUGCCUAAUACAUGCAAGUUGAGCGCUGAAGGUUGGUACUUGUACCAACUGUAUGAACAGCGAACGUGUGAGUAACGCGUGGUGAAUCUGCCUUUGAGCUGGGAGCAGCAUUUGGUAACGAAUGCUGAUACCGCAUAAAAACGUUAAACACAGGGUUGAAGAUUUAAAUAUGCAUUUGCAUCACUCAACGAUGAUCCCGCUUUGUAUUAGCUAGUUGGUGAGGUAAAGGCUCACCAAGGCGAUGAUACAUAGCCGAACUGAGAGGCUGAUAGGCCACAUGGGGACUCGGACACGGACAAAAGUACUACGGGACGCAGCAGUAGGGAACCUUAGGCAACGGACGAAAGUAUGACAGAGUAAAGGCGAGUGAGAGAAGACGGUGCUCCGAUCGUAAAGACCUGUUGCUAGAGAAGAACGGUGGUGAGAGUGGAAAGAUCAUCAAGUGACGGUAACUACACAGAAAGCGACGGCUAACUACGUG
rnacentral:rRNA from 1 species